rnacentral:rRNA from 1 species
UAGUCCACGCAGUAAACGAUGAAUGUUAGUCGUCGGGUAGCUAGUCUAUUCGGUGAUGCAGCUAACGCAUUAAACAUUCCGCCUGGGGAGUACGGUCGCAAGAUUAAAACUCAAAGGAAUAGACGGGGACCCGCACAAGUGGUGGAGCAUGUGGUUUAAUUCGAAGAUACGCGAAGAACCUUACCUGGCCUUGACAUAUUUUAGAAUUCUUUAGAGAUAGAGAAGUGCCUUCGGGAGCUAAUAUACAGGUGCUGCACGGCUGUCGUCAGCUCGUGUCGUGAGAUGUUGGGUUAAGUCCCGCAACGAGCGCAACCCUCGUCACUAGUUACCAACGGUUCGGCCGAGGACUCUAGUGAGACUGCCUUCGCAAGGAGGAGGAAGGUGAGGACGACGUCAAGUCAUCAUGGCCCUUACGGCCAGGGCAACACACGUGCUACAAUGAUCGGUACAAAGCGUAGCGAAACGGCGACGUUGAGCAAACCGCAAAAAGCCGGUACACAGUGCGG